rnacentral:rRNA from 1 species
AGCAGCCGCGGUAAUUCCAGCUCCAAUAGCGUAUAUUAAAGUUGUUGCAGUUAAAAAGCUCGUAGUUGAAUUUCGGGGUCUGUCCAUCGGUCGGGCUUCACGGUCCGUACUGGUGAGAUGGGUUCCUACCUUCUGAAUAACCGGCAUGCCAUUUAGUUGGUGCGCCGGGGAAGCAGAGCUAUUACCUUGAAAAAAUUAGAGUGCUUAAAGCAGGCUAUUGCUUGAAUAGAUUAGCAUGGAAUAAUAAAAUAGGACGGCAUGGUUCUAUUUUGUUGGUUUCUAGGAUCACCGUAAUGAUUAAUAGGGAUAGUUGGGGGCAUUAGGUAUUCAAUUGUCAGAGGUGAAAUUCUUGGAUUUUAUGAAGACUAACUUCUGUCGAAAGCAUUUGCCAAGGAUGUUUUCAUUAAUCAAGAACGAAAGUUAGGGGAUCGAAGACGAUCAGAUACCGUCGUAGUCUUAACCAUAAACUAUGCCGACUAGGGAUCGGACGAUGUUAAUUUUUUAAUGACUCGUUCGGCGC